CGUAGAUCGGCCAAUUUGUCCGACGGGAGCCGACAUUCCCCGAUAACCGAAUCGAUUUCGAUCCCAAGAAAGCACAAGCAUGAGGAAGGGCCAACUGUUUUCUCGGGUGCCAGUGGCACCCCAAACCCACAGGCCACAUCCGCCACCGAUUGCAAAAUGUGUGCGCAUAUCGGGGAAUGUGCGGGCCCAACACACAGGAAAUCGUCUAAGUAGUGAAGAAGGGAGUCGUAACC